GGCAAAAGCUCAAAUUUGAAAUCUGGCUCUUUCAGAGUCCGAGUUGUAAUUUGAAGAAGGUAUCUUUGGGUCUGGCUCUUGUCUAUGUUUCUUGGAACAGAACGUCACAGAGGGUGAGAAUCCCGUGCGAUGAGAUGAUCCAGGCCUAUGUAAAGUUCCUUCGAAGAGUCGAGUUGUUUGGGAAUGCAGCUCUAAGUGGGUGGUAAAUUCCAUCUAAAGCUAAAUAUUGGCGAGAGACCGAUAGCGAACAAGUACAGUGAUGGAAAGAUGAAAAGAACUUUGAAAAGAGAGUGAAAAAGUACGUGAAAUUGUUGAAAGGGAAGGGCUUGAGAUCAGACUUGGUAUUUUGUAUGUUACUUCUUCGGGGGUGGCCUCUACAGUUUAUCGGGCCAGCAUCAGUUUGGGCGGUAGGAGAAUUGCGUUGGAAUGUGGCACGGCUUCGGUUGUGUGUUAUAGCCUUCGUCGAUACUGCCAGCCUAGACUGAGGACUGCGGUUUAUACCUAGGAUGUUGGCAUAAUGAUCUUAAGUCGCCCGUCUUGAAACACGGACCAAGGAGUCUAACGUCUAUGCGAGUGUUUGGGUGUAAAACCCGUACGCGUAAUGAAAGUGAACGUAGGUGGGGGCCCGUAUGGGUGCACCAUCGACCGAUCCUGAUGUCUUCGGAUGGAUUUGAGUAAGAGCAUAGCUGUUGGGACCCGAAAG
rnacentral:rRNA from 1 species